ensembl:snRNA U2 U2 spliceosomal RNA
AUCGCUUCUCGGCCUUUUGGCUAAGAUCAAGUGUAGAAGAUUUCCCACACGUGAAGCAUGAAUGUGCUUUUUUUUUUUUUUUUUGAAUGUGCUUUUACAAGACAGAACGUAAGUGCUCCAACUUCUCCUCUACCAGAAGUAGUAAACAGUU